CAGGGCUACGUGGGUUUAUUUUCGGAGCAGCUCCAGGGAUCCGAUGGCCUUGUUAGGGCAGCUGUGACCUUUCUUACCGGAGGAGGGUAGAAGGAAGGAGGCUGCGGGAGGAGAGCCGGGGAGACUCGCCUGUCCAAUGGGGCUCUGAAGAAGAGCCUGGCACCGCCCGCGCAACUAGCCGCGGGGGCCCGCAAGAGCCCCGGGAGGGCGGAAGAGGCAAGGGCGCAAAGCGCGCCAUAGGGGAGGGGGUCGCGACGGCGGCGGCCGGGGAAGGUUCAGCAAGGAUCCUCACCCUUCUUGGCUCUUAAAGGGGCCGGAUGCUGCCGGCGUUUAGAAGAGGCUGUGAGGAUGGUGUAGCAGAGAAAAGUUACCUUGCAGCUAAGGUCUUGCAAAGGCUUGCCUCUUGCCCAUCAGGUCGCUUGAAGCGAGCGCGCAGGAUGGGGAGGCCCGCGCCUUGCAGCUGAGCAGGAGUUUCGCCUCCUCUACUGCCUGCUGCCCUCCAAGGCCACUUGGUAGAGUUUUCCUUCCAUGCCUCCACACCUGACAGGCUAGCGUUGCCAAGCCGGAGGGUUCGGGGUCCCCGAGGUUCGUGCAGCUUUUCUGAGCCUAGGAAUAGCUUGCUUGCCACCUCCUCGCAGCUUCUUCCCUAGUUGCCCCUUCCUGGGCGAGGACGCCACGCCUGACCCCGAAGGCAGCCCCCGAGCAUAGCUUGGCUAUGCAGCACCACCUGCUGCUUCCACUAAUGGAGAAGUGAAUCUGGCCAAAUAGAAAGGAGGGAACGAGCCAGAGAAGAGCACAGACCCCUGGCUUGACAGCAUGAGCGGUGGCAGGUUUGACUUUGACGAUGGAGGGGCCUACUGCGGGGGCUGGGAAGGGGGCAAAGCCCACGGGCACGGCAUCUGCACCGGGCCCAAGGGCCAGGGCGAAUACUCAGGCUCCUGGAACUACGGCUUCGAAGUGGUGGGAGUCUACACCUGGCCCAGCGGCAACACCUACGAGGGCUACUGGUCUCAAGGCAAGAGGCAUGGCUUAGGGAUCGAGACCAAAGGGCGGUGGCUUUACAAAGGCGAAUGGACACAUGGCUUCAAAGGAAGGUAUGGGGUCAGGCAGAACGUCAGCAGCGGGGCAAAAUACGAAGGCACCUGGAAUAAUGGGCUGCAGGACGGUUAUGGCACCGAGACCUAUGCUGAUGGAGGUACAUACCAAGGCCAGUUCACCAAUGGAAUGCGCCACGGUUAUGGCGUCCGGCAGAGCGUCCCAUAUGGCAUAGCAGCUGUAGUCCGCAACCCUCUAAGGACCUCCCUUACUUCCCUCCGUAGUGAGCACAGCAAUGGCACCCUGUUGCAACAUGACUCCCCGUCAGCAAACCUGGAGAACUUUCCCAUGACACCUACGAUCACCCGUGGUGGCUUUGCUCUCAGCCUGUACGCGGAUGCUGAUGCGGGCAAGCUGAAGAAGGGAGGGCUCUUCAGGCGGAGUUCCUUGUUUGGGAAGAUGAAGAAAUCCGACUCUAAGACUUCCUUGGCCAGCCAAAGGAGCCGACUCAGCUUCCUCAAGAGCGAGAGUGGGAUGAGCUCCACUGGUAGCGAUGCCACCUCCACGGCUAGCCUAGGAGAAGGAGCAGAGGGAGAGGACUUCCCACCUUUUGACGCUGAUAUCGAUGCCACCACAACAGAGUCCUAUAUGGGUGAGUGGAAGAAUGACAAGCGCUCUGGGUUUGGCGUGAGUGAGAGAUCAAGUGGCCUGAAGUAUGAGGGUGAAUGGCUGGAUAAUGUACGGCAUGGAUACGGUUGCACCACUUUGCCUGAUGGUAAGAAGGAAGAAGGGAAAUACAGAAUGAACGUCCUGAUCAAAGGCAUGAAGAAGAGGGUGAUACCUCUGAAAAGUGCCAAGAUAAGGCAGAAGGUGGACAGGAGCCUGGAAGGGGCUCAGAGGGCAGCAGCCAUCGCCAGACAGAAAUCUGAGAUUGCAGCUUCUAGAUAUGUCUCAUGACUGAUAUGGCUGAUUACAUCUAGAGCAAGAAUUGCGUAUCAUCAAGGAGCAAUCAUUUUGGGAAUGACACAUUUGGUGAGAUCUGACAAAAUGUGAAAAUAGAAGUUGUGCAUUUUAGGCAGACCUUGGUUCCUGUGUCAGCACCAUCCUGAUGGGACAGGCGGCACCAGCAUUAUAUCUAGCCAGGUUAUUUUCCUAGGAUUGGUCCUUUGCAGCUGUGUCUUUAACCUGCCCUACAUCUGCUGUCAUAGGGGGCAAGUUAUUGUGACUUGGGGAAAACCUUGCAAGAUGAAUUAGGACCCCUGCUGGGCCUAGUUUGGAUCUGGACAACAUGGUAACAUGGUUUGUUGCUCCAGCUCAGGCAUCCCCAAACUUCGGCCCUCCAGAUGUUUUGGACUACAGUUCCCAUUAUCCCUGACCACUGGUGGUCCUCUUAGCUACGGAUCAUGGGAGUUGUAGGCCAAAACAUCUGGAGGGCCGCAGUUUGGGGAUGCCUGCUCCAGCUUGUAGCUAGGAAACAGCAAAGUGCAUUGACACACUGCUCAUUUCUGGCCAAUGAGAAAUAAUCCCCAUUAAAAUUAAGGAGCUACAUGAGAGCACUACCAUACUAUUGAAAUGCUCCCUUUGAUUUCAGUGGGGGUCGGGCAAGAUAAUUUCCCAGUUGAUUGUGCUCUUUAGGAUGUAAUCCUAUACCCACUUAGGGUAAGAACUCAUUGAACUCAAUAGGACUUAAUUUUGUGUAGACAUGAAUACCGUGUUUCUCAUAUUAUAAGACACGUCUUAUAUUUAUUUUUUCCUCAAAAAAACACACUAUGGCUUAUUUUCAAGGGAUGUCUUAUUUUUUUCCUUCUCCUCCUGCCGCGGCCGGCAUUGCUGCUGCGCCUAUCACUAUGUCUUAUUUUCGGGGUAUGGCUUAUAUUCCUUGAAUGCUUAAAAAUCCUGCUAUGGCUUAUUUUAUGGGUAUGUCUUAAAAUAUGAGAAACAGGGUAGAAUCACACGGUAAUGUUACCUGUAAGGUGCUGUGAACACUGAUAAUAGAUACAUAGGUUUAUGCUGUUAUUUGGCCUGUAAAAUACUAUGCACACUGCUGGUGGUAUAGAAAUAAAUCACGGCUACCCACCAGAUUUGCCUAGUAGAGAUUUAUGCAUCUUGGCAAGGUGUUAAAUGAAGGGCAGCACAUCUCCAAGGUAAUAGAUCUUGCCACAGAAAAGGUCACUGCAGGCUCUUUUCUGCCAAGGACACUAAUACAGUGGAACCUCGGUUUAUGAACACCUCGGUUUAUGAAUUUUCGGUUUACGAAUGCCGCGGACCCAUCUGGAACGGAUUAAUUCACUUUCCAUUACUUUCAAUAGGAAAGUUCGCUUCAGUUUAUGAAUGCUUCAGUUUAUGAACAGACUUCCGGAACCAAUUGUGUUCAUAAACCGAGGUACCACUGUAUUCCCAUGAAGCAUAAAUGAGGAAUUAUAGUCUGGGGUAAGGGCUUCAUCUUACUUUGAUGUUUGUUUUUGGCUCUAGUUCCCCAUGCAAGUACAAAGCAAAUGUGCCUUACAUUGUUGUGAAUGGCAUGUGUGCAUUAAAUUGCACUUUUCUUAGUAAAAUACAUGGAAAAGAAAAUACGGUUGUUCUAUGUGCUAAAAAAUAGGAGUGCACCAUUCACAACCAAUACUAAUCAUAGAAACAUGGAGUUGGAGAAGGUCUUGUAGGUUAUCUAGUCCUGUUCUUCCUAAACUAUCUGAUGUUGUGGACCAACAAAUCUCCCCCUCCUCAAUGUGCCAGUGACCGAUACAGUGGAACCUUGGUUUAUGAACACCUCGGUUUACAAAUUUUCGGUUUACGAACGCCGCGGACCCAUCUGGAAUGGAUUAAUCCACUUUCCAUUACUUUCAGUGGGAAAGUUCGCUUCAGUUUAUGAAUGCUUUAGUUUAUGAACAGACUUCUGGAACCAAUUGUGUUAAUAAACCGAGGUACCACUGUACAUUAUUUGGACUCUGAAGCAUUCUACCCAACCUAGGCUGGGUUAAGUAGCCAUGGUCUGUGGACCACCGUUUUGAGUAUCACUGAUCUAGUCAAACCCUGCGCAAUGCAGGAAUUUCAGGACACCCUCACACACACACACACUUACAUGCAUUUGACUUGUGUGCAUACAUGCGGUGCUGGGAAAUACGUAAAUAAUUCCAUUCAUACUCGGAAGUGGCAGAAGAGAGCUGAGAGUUCUUGUGGCUUGUGUGGAGCCCCGAAAUCCUCCCAGAGUCUGAAGAGGACUUCAGUGAGGGUGAAGGAAGCCGCAAAGAGACCGGAGGCACAGCAGGGCUUUGCUUAGCCUGCUCAGCCCCCCCCCCCCCAUCUAGAAGUUGAUGUCUAGGGUAGUGCAGCUGCAGUUGCCACUUUGCCGCAUGUCCUCCAGCCUCAGAGGUUUGAUUCUAGUUGUAGAUAUUUUUGGAUAUUGAAUUCAGGUUCUCUUCACGGCGAAUCUAUCUAAUUCACAAUAAUCGCAGCCAUCCUUCAAAAUUUGCACAUCUCAACAGUUUGCAGGGCAGUUCUCUGGCAAAGUAUUGUGUCCAAAAAUGCAUAUACUGUACUAGGGUAAACUGUGUAUUGAAAUGCCUAGGUUAGUGAAAAUAUAUUACAUUUGGGAAAUUGCUUUGCCAAAAUGUGUAUGUUAAGGAACAUUGCAUAAAAAUCUAUAUUGUAGGAGAAAUUCUCUGGUGAAUUUUCAUGAAAGUUUUCCGUAUUUUUUUUCUAAUUGCAAACUGAUGGGGGAAUGUGGAGAACUGGAGAUUGGAAGAAUAAGAAACUGUGAGAAACUAAAACUGACAGAAUUGCUUUUUUCAUUUAUUAUUCUAUGCCGUUUUCCCACUCAUGCGAAUCACAAAGCAGCUCACAAUAAAUAAGCAAUAAUGUAAAGGAACAUCACAAAGACAACAUAAAUCAUAUAUAAUAAUUUUAAAAAAUCAUCAGUGAAACUAUUACAAAUAAUCAGUAAAACAGUCACAUUCUAUAAAACACAAUUAACAAAAUAACUUAAAAAAGUAAGCUAAACAACAAAAACACAACAAAAGUCAUAUUAUAACACUCACAAAGCACUACAGCACACCUAGUCCACAAAAUAGUAUCGACAACAUUAGCAACCUUUGAGUUGGCACACAAACGCACACUCCUCACCCCUAUGUGUGCAUUCAGCUUCCUUAUCCUUUUGACCCUUUAACUCUUAAAAUUGAGCCCUCAUCUCUCUGCUUCAUCCAUGUUUGGAAUAGGCCUGGGCUCUAAAAAACAUGGGCAAGGGUGGUUUAGCUAUUUUUUAAAGAAUCUGUAGCUGUAGGAUAUGAUCUACAUCCAUAUUAGCACAGGAGAUGCUGUCUGAUUUUGCUGAUUCUUUGCUUGUGGUCUCUUCCACAGCAUGCUGGAAAAGUCAUGCAUAUAAAGUGUUGCAAGGCUAUAAAUAAUGGUGUUGGAGCUGUUGAAUUGCUGCACAAAUGCUCGGCAGUUUAUAAAAGGAUCUUUUUAUUAUACACUAUUUACACUUCAAAUCAAAGGGGGAACUCUGGUGGUUUACAUCAGAGAUUGGAAUGCACUCCUGGUGGAGCGGGGGCACUCUAUCCCUCCCUUAGCGCUGCUUGGACAUAAUUUCCUAUUAAGGAAACUUUUGAGCAAGGGGAAAUAGACACGUCGAGUCAUUUUCCUCCUCCUUGUGUGUUGCACAAAUGCAGCUGCUUGAGACACUUGGAAAGAGGGUUUGCAAUUUCCAUGCUAGCAGCCCCUGCUCAUCUCACUCUCUUGUGAAUUAGCCCUUGAGUUUUGAGACCAGGCAUGUUUCCCUUGAGAAAUGUAGCCAAAUGUUCUGUUUAUUUGCUUUUAUUUUAGAUUAUCACAACAAACAAAUCAACUUGCCCAAGACAUUGUGCAAUAAAAGACGAGCAAAUGAAAAUCAGUGUAAAUCAGCCUUGAAUUCAAUAGUAGCUACAGGUGACAAGCCAUAGGUGACAAGGAAGAAUUAAUGGGGAAACACAGGGUUUCAGGGGGUCUUUCUCCACUGAAAUCCAAGGCAAAAAAUCACAAGUGGAAACACCGAACUGAACAUGGGGCAAAGAGGUACAGACUUAGGGAAAGUGCAGCUGGGCCCCAAGACUAAGGAGGUGGAAGAAGACAGCCAACACCACUCCAACUUACUGGUUGUCAGUAAGAAAGCAGGCAAGUGAGGGGUGACUGAGGGCAUAUCUGGUUGGUGGGGCAGUGUGCAAUUUGCCCUGUUGGGCCAGCUUCCACUGCCAUCUAGCUCAUUACCGUCUACCUGUUACUGGCAGCAGGUCUCCUGCUUUUCAAACCAAGGUUUUCUCAGCCUUUACUUGAAGAUGCUGGGGAUUGAACCUGUGACCUUCUGCAUGCAAAGCAGACUCUCUUUCACUGCCCGUUAUCAAUCAUCUUGCAGCUUUCCUCUCUACCAUUUUCUGCCCUUCAGAAGAAGAAAAAAACCAGGUAUAAAAACAUGUCUACGGACACCAGACCUCUGCUGCCCAGUUUGUAUGCUUGUUUUUUGUCUGUUUGAAGCAAGUUGUUUAAAAGGAUCAAGUUUUAAAUCCUAGCCAGCUUUUCCGUCCGUUGGUGUCGCCUGUCUCCAUGGGACACGUUGCACCCGCCCUUAAAAUAACAGAGCCGCUCAUCUGCUGAGACUUGAACUGCAGUCCUCCCUCGUAUCACUUUCCUUUACUCUCCUGGCCAAUCAUGCUCUUAAGCAAUGUUAACUUAUAUCUCCAGUGUGCUCAGCAUUUCAAAUCUACAUUACAUAGGCAGGAAUGAGAGUCUCCUUGGGGGACACUGGUGGAGCAUGGUGUAAAUGACGUGUUGAAAGUGCUGGAGUCAGCAGAGGAGGCCCUGACUAAAUAAGGGUAUACAUUGCAGUGGUUUACCAGACCGACAGGAGAAUGCAACAACCAAGAGCCUACAUGCUUAUCCGCUAAGUAGAAACCUGUUCAGGUGGAUUUUAACCCUAUGUUAAAAGUAAUGGCUUUGUGUAGAUUCUGUGCUGUGCUCAUAGAACAGGGUCCCCAAACUAAGUCCCGGGGGCCAGAUGCGGCCCAAUUGCCUUCUCAAUCCGGCCCCUGGUCAGUCUGGGAAUCAGCAUGUUUUUACAUGACUAAAAUGUGUCCUUUUAUUUAAAAUGCAUCUCUGGGUUA